UAUAAACAACCACAAUAUAUAUUUACAAAAUGUCUGAUAAAUUUUUAAUUUAUUUACAACUUGCAAAACAGCACCUUAUUUAAAAUAUCUGUAAUUUAUGGGAAUUGUAUAUGUGAAAUUUCAUAGUAUCCUCGAGUGUGCUCAAAAGUAUAAAAUCGACCAAAUCACCUCCAAUUUACGAAUUGGAAUGUAAUUACCGAAUAAAAACCUCCAAUUAAUCAAUUGGAACAAACUUACCCCAAUUCAUAUUUCCGAAAGUAAUAUCGGAAAAAUACUAUGUCUUUCCUUCGCGGAAAAAGACAAAUUUACCCUAUGCAUUAACUCCAAUGUAUGUAUUGGAAAACAUAGACCAAUUGAUGCCGUCAGAGCAUAUACUGCCAGUGCACUGAGACCCAAUUUUUCUCAAGUGUACGCAGCCAAAAUGCCUACGCGCAUCCCAAAUCACACUCCCUAGGAACAUAUGGAAAAUGAACCAAAUCUCUACCAACCUCGGAAAUUAUACUCUCUCACACCUUACUCUCGGAUACUAUUGUUUGACUAUUGUAGUUGAGUGACGGAAUCAGUUGAUGGCAGCUACUUUGUUAUGAUAGCUCCAUUUAGAAAAAAAGUAUCCAAAAUGUAGUGUUUUUUUUUUUUUUUAAUCAAAAGUGGUGCUGUAUUUGCAAAAUGGUUAAAGUUUAGCUGGUUUCCUUCGAUGAAAUAAAUCCCAAAAUAAACAGUUAAUGGAAUUCCAACCGUAUCAUUCAGGUAAGUAUUUUUAUAAUUAUGACUAUACUAACUUUCUUUUUUUUUUCAGGUUUCUGAACUCUUCUCCAUUUUCCUGACGAAGUCGCUCUCAUUUUGAAAUGGAUUAUUCUGCGACAAGUAAAUGGAUUGGUAAAAUACCAUCGACGUGCUUCGCCUGAAAACAAAAUGUAUGCCUGAUCCAGGAAACAAUCAUCUGGAAUUCUUUCGGCAACCAUCAGUUCGUUUACUUGGAAGACGAAGUCGGAAACUUCCAUUCCCUGAGGAUCACCACUGAACUGGAUACCCCAUUUAUCCAAACGGAAAUGGCGGAAUUUAUGAUUUCGUCGAUGAGAAUUUUUGUUGUUGUCCGACAGACUGUUUAACGAGGACGUCGAGGAGGAGCUCGUUGAAAGCAAACUGCUUAAAGAGUCCAAUGAAGAGCUCUCUGAGUCCGAAGACGAACUCUCGGAAAACCAACACAAGCAGAAUGUAUUCAAUAAAAAUAAUUCAAAUAAUAAUAAAAAGAAAAUGUCCCACACCCAAAAAUUCAAAAAUAAAAUCAACCUUCACCAAAAAUUUCCCGAAUUCAAUCUAUUGAUUAAUCUACCUAAUCGAAUCAGACUUAAAUUUCCUAAAUUCAAUUUUCUUAAUACUAAAAUUUCCUAUAUUUCAAAUAUUAAAACUAAUUAAAAAAAAAUUAACCUAAACGUAACUCACAGGGUCGUGAAUUAUAAAGUUGGGCGCCAAUGUAAGGGGGGUCCCGUGUGGGCCUGCAAAAUCGCCGACUUUUGCGCCAGAAGACCGAGGUCUUCUGUCGGGAUUCGGAUGAAUGGAUGCCCGGACUAGCGCGUACCGUAGGCCUCACCACAGUAUCCUCCUUCAAUUUGCUUUUCCCACACUUCAGAAAAAUAUUCACUAAACGAUUCGAAAAAUUUCUUUCCUCCAACUCUAAACCGAUCUUUUCUUUCUUACCAAAAGAAAAAUUAAUUUUACCAAUUUUAAACUGUUUAAUGGAAAAACUACCAAAACGUUUCCAGAAAUUUUCUCCAAUGUUUUGUUUCUUAUUUUCGUCAAAAACCUAACUCCUAAUACUCAACAAUUCUCCGAUUGUGACGUCACUCUGUUAUGUGUUGUUACCUAAACUCUAGUAUUUCUACUGGUACAAUGUGGUGUCCCUACUAAUUUGUUUGGUGUUCUGUGUAACGGUGGUGGUGGUCCGUGCUAUCACGUAUUGGUUUUUCAGGGUACUCACGGAUUUUGAAAUUCUAUACCGGUAUGGACUUGCAGCAACGGUGGGGCAUCCAAAAGGUGGAGCAGCGUGGUGAUCUCACCGCUCAGACACCAAACCUCGCACCGACGUGAGUUUCGGUAAAUCACGCUGGCGUUGGUAGACUUUCCCGUCCUGAGUACAACCGUGCCGGAGUAGGGUCGCGUAUGGCGGGCAACACACACGGGGCCGAGCUUCCCUCUCGAUGACCAACGCGCUCCAGAAUGGUCUAUAGUGGUCCGCAACCACGAGGCGAUAGACCACUCCGGGGAAUUUACCGAGCACCACUUCGCAGGCGAUGGCUGAUCGCCAAAACGCAAAAUACAACCUACACACGGAGCCACCAAGGCUGUACAAAUUGCCUUUUAUUAAA